AUUGAACGCUGGCGGCAGGCCUAACACAUGCAAGUCGAACGAGUGGCGGACGGGUGCGUAAUGUCUGGGAAACUGCCUAAUGGAGGGGGAUAAGUACUGGAAACGGUAGCUAAUACCGCAUACCAUCAGAUGUGCCCAGAUGGGAUUAGCUUGUUGGUGGGGUAACGGCUCACAAAGGCGACGAUGCCUAGCUGGUCUGAGAGGAUGACCAUCCACACUGGAACCGAGCCACGGUCCAGACUCCUACGGGAGGCAGCAGUGGGGAAUAUUGCACAAUGGGCGCAAGUCUGAAGCAGCCAUGCCGCGUGUAUGAAGAAGGCUUUCGGGUUGUAAAGUACUUUCAGCGGGGAGGCGGUACCCGCAGAAGAAGCACCGGCUAACUCCGUGCCAGCAGCCGCGGUAAUUC
rnacentral:rRNA from 1 species